UACGUAGGGGGCAAGCGUUGUCCGGAUUAUUGGGCGUAAAGAGCGUGUAGGCGGUCAGGUAGGUCCGUUGUGAAAACUCGAGGCUCAACCUCGAGACGCCGAUGGAAACCAUCUGACUAGAGUCCGGAAGAGGAGAGUGGAAUUCCUGGUGUAGCGGUGAAAUGCGCAGAUAUCAGGAAGAACACCCGUGGCUAAGGCGGCUCUCUAGUACGGUACUGACGCUGAGACGCGAAAGCGUGGGGAGCGAACAGG
rnacentral:rRNA from 1 species